CCAGCAUGGAUACCCCGGGAGGUCACUCUCCCCGGGCUCUGUCCAGGUGGCGUAGGGGAGCACAGGGCUCUGCACAGUCCCUUUCCACAAUGCUGGAGAGGAAGCCGGGCCUUGAGCCUGCGCCUGCACAUUCCCACAGCUUCUCGGAGUCCUAUGGUCAGUUACUGAGGUGACAAACCACGCAGGAAACAUCU